rnacentral:rRNA from 1 species
AAAUUGAAGAGUUUGAUCAUGGCUCAGAUUGAACGCUGGCGGCAGGCCUAACACAUGCAAGUCGAACGGUAACAGGAAGCAGCUUGCUUCUUUGCUGACGAGUGGCGGACGGGUGAGUAAUGUCUGGGAAACUGCCUGAUGGAGGGGGAUAACUACUGGAAACGGUAGCUAAUACCGCAUAAUGUCGCAAGACCAAAGAGGGGGACCUUCGGGCCUCUUGCCAUCGGAUGUGCCCAGAUGGGAUUAGCUUGUUGGUGGGGUAACGGCUCACCAAGGCGACGAUCCCUAGCUGGUCUGAGAGGAUGACCAGCCACACUGGAACUGAGACACGGUCCAGACUCCUACGGGAGGCAGCAGUGGGGAAUAUUGCACAAUGGGCGCAAGCCUGAUGCAGCCAUGCCGCGUGUAUGAAGAAGGCCUUCGGGUUGUAAAGUACUUUCAGCGGGGAGGAAGGGAGUAAAGUUAAUACCUUUACUCAUUGACGUUACCCGCAGAAGAAGCACCGGCUAACUCCGUGCCAGCAGCCGCGGUAAUACGGAGGGUGCAAGCGUUAAUCGGAAUUACUGGGCGUAAAGCGCACGCAGGCGGUUUGUUAAGUCAGAUGUGAAAUCCCCGGGCUCAACCUGGGAACUGCAUCUGAUACUGGCAAGCUUGAGUCUCGUAGAGGGGGGUAGAAUUCCAGGUGUAGCGGUGAAAUGCGUAGAGAUCUGGAGGAAUACCGGUGGCGAAGGCGGCCCCCUGGACGAAGACUGACGCUCAGGUGCGAAAGCGUGGGGAGCAAACAGGAUUAGAUACCCUGGUAGUCCACGCCGUAAACGAUGUCGACUUGGAGGUUGUGCCCUUGAGGCGUGGCUUCCGGAGCUAACGCGUUAAGUCGACCGCCUGGGGAGUACGGCCGCAAGGUUAAAACUCAAAUGAAUUGACGGGGGCCCGCACAAGCGGUGGAGCAUGUGGUUUAAUUCGAUGCAACGCGAAGAACCUUACCUGGUCUUGACAUCCACGGAAGUUUUCAGAGAUGAGAAUGUGCCUUCGGGAACCGUGAGACAGGUGCUGCAUGGCUGUCGUCAGCUCGUGUUGUGAAAUGUUGGGUUAAGUCCCGCAACGAGCGCAACCCUUAUCCUUUGUUGCCAGCGGUCCGGCCGGGAACUCAAAGGAGACUGCCAGUGAUAAACUGGAGGAAGGUGGGGAUGACGUCAAGUCAUCAUGGCCCUUACGACCAGGGCUACACACGUGCUACAAUGGCGCAUACAAAGAGAAGCGACCUCGCGAGAGCAAGCGGACCUCAUAAAGUGCGUCGUAGUCCGGAUUGGAGUCUGCAACUCGACUCCAUGAAGUCGGAAUCGCUAGUAAUCGUGGAUCAGAAUGCCACGGUGAAUACGUUCCCGGGCCUUGUACACACCGCCCGUCACACCAUGGGAGUGGGUUGCAAAAGAAGUAGGUAGCUUAACCUUCGGGAGGGCGCUUACCACUUUGUGAUUCAUGACUGGGGUGAAGUCGUAACAAGGUAACCGUAGGGGAACCUGCGGUUGGAUCACCUCCUUA